GAUGGGCUAAGUGGGUGAUGGGCACGAAGGAAGGCGCUUGCUGGGAUGGGCACUGGGUGUUGUAUACAAGUGCUGAACCACUAAAUUCAGUUCCUAAAACCAUUAUGAUACUAUGAGUUCACUAACUGGGAUUUAAAUUUUUAAAAAAAGAAGUUUUAAAAACAGA